CGACCGGCGCACGGGUGCGUAACGCGUAUGCAACCUACCUGUAACAGGGGGAUAACACUGAGAAAUCGGUACUAAUACCGCAUAACACUAUGAGAGGCAUCUCUUGUGGUUGAAAGUUUCGGCGGUUACAGAUGGGCAUGCGUUGUAUUAGCUGGUUGGUGAGGUAACGGCUUACCAAGGCGACGAUACAUAGGGGGACUGAGAGGUUAACCCCCCACAUUGGUACUGAGACACGGACCAAACUCCUACGGGAGGCAGCAG
rnacentral:rRNA from 1 species